rnacentral:rRNA from 1 species
GACGAACCGAGCGAACGUUGUUCGGAAUCACUGGGCGUAAAGGGCUCGUAGGCGGCCAACUAAGUCAGACGUGAAAUCCCUCGGCUUAACCGGGGAACUGCAUCUGAUACUGGAUGGCUUGAGUUCGGGAGAGGGAUGCGGAAUUCCAGGUGUAGCGGUGAAAUGCGUAGAUAUCUGGAGGAACACCGGUGGCGAAGGCGGCAUCCUGGACCGACACUGACGCUGAGGAGCGAAAGCCAGGGGAGCAAACGGGG